AUGCUUUACAACUUAGAACCGGGGCUCCAAAAGCGUUUUGAGCAACACGAAGCAUAUGAGAUGUUCGAAGAGCUGAAAAUGGUUUUCCAAGCUCGUGUCCGGGUCGAGAGAUAUGAAGUCUCUGACAAGUUCUACAGUUGUAAGAUGGAGGAAAACAGUUCUGAUAGCGAGCAUAUACUCACAAUUUCUAGGUUGCACAACCAUUUAUCUCAGCUGGGAGUUAAUCUUCCAGAUGACUCGGUCAUUGACAGGAUCCUUCAGUCGCUUCCACCUAGCUACAAGAGCUUUGUGAUGAACUAA
rnacentral:rRNA from 1 species